CCCUUAGAUGUUCUGGGCCGCACGCGCGCUACACUGACAGAGCCAGCGAGUUUUUUUCCUUGGCCGGAAGGUCUGGGUAAUCUUGUGAAACUCUGUCGUGCUGGGGAUAGAGCAUUGCAAUUAUUGCUCUUCAACGAGGAAUACCUAGUAAGCGUGAGUCAUCAGCUCGCGUUGAUUACGUCCCUGCCCUUUGUACACACCGCCCGUCGCUACUACCGAUUGAAUGGCUUAGUGAGGUCUUGGGAUUGGCUUCGGGGAGCCGGCAACGGCACCCUGUUGCUGAGAACUUGAUCAAACUUGGUCAUUUAGAGGAAGUAAAANUCGUAACA
rnacentral:rRNA from 1 species